rnacentral:rRNA from 1 species
UACGGGGGGGGCAAGCGUUGUUCGGAAUUACUGGGCGUAAAGGGCUCGUAGGCGGCCAACUAAGUCAGGCGUGAAAUCCCUCGGCUUAACCGGGGAACUGCAUCUGAUACUGGAUGGCUUGAGAUUGGGAGAGGGAUGCGGAAUUCCAGGUGUAGCGGUGAAAUGCGUAGAUAUCUGGAGGAACACCGGUGGCGAAGGCGGCAUCCUGGACCGGCAUUGACGCUGAUGAGCGAAAGCUAGGGGAGCAAACGGG